rnacentral:rRNA from 1 species
CCUACGGGUGGCAGCAGUGGGGAAUAUUGGACAAUGGGCGAAAGCCUGAUCCAGCCAUGCCGCGUGUGUGAAGAAGGCCUUCGGGUUGUAAAGCACUUUCAGUGGGGAAGAAAGCCUUGGGGCUAAUACCCUCGAGGAAGGACAUUACCCACAGAAGAAGCACCGGCUAACUCCGUGCCAGCAGCCGCGGUAAUACGGAGGGUGCGAGCGUUAAUCGGAAUUACUGGGCGUAAAGCGCGCGUAGGCGGUCUGAUAAGCCGGAUGUGAAAGCCCCGGGCUCAACCUGGGAACGGCAUCCGGAACUGUCAGGCUAGAGUGCAGGAGAGGAAGGUAGAAUUCCCGGUGUAGCGGUGAAAUGCGUAGAGAUCGGGAGGAAUACCAGUGGCGAAGGCGGCCUUCUGGUCUGACACUGACGCUGAGGUGCGAAAGCGUGGGUAGCAAACAGGAUUAGAUACCCUUGUAGUC